CACAUCACGUUGAAACACCGUUUCCUGUAUGAUCCCCGAAGUUAAACAACUUUGGGCCUGGUCAGUAACUAUAUGAGUAACCGUUUGGAAAUAUUAGGUGCUGUAAG